rnacentral:tRNA from 1 species
GGGGUUGUGGCUCAGCAGUAGAGCACUGGCCUCGAACGUGGGAGACCCUGGGUUCGAUCCUCAGCACCA